GACGAACGCUGGCGGCGUGCUUAACACAUGCAAGUCGAACGGAAAGGCCCUGCUUGCAGGGUACUCGAGUGGCGAACGGGUGAGUAACACGUGGGUGAUCUGCCCUGCACUUCGGGAUAAGCCUGGGAAACUGGGUCUAAUACCGGAUAGGAGCCAUUUUUAGUGUGAUGGUUGGAAAGUUUUUUCGGUGUAGGAUGAGCUCGCGGCCUAUCAGCUUGUUGGUGGGGUAAUGGCCUACCAAGGCGGCGACGGGUAGCCGGCCUGAGAGGGUGGACGGCCACACUGGGACUGAGAGACGGCCCAGACUCCUACGGGAGGCAGAAGUGGGGAAUAUUGCACAAUGGGCGCAAGCCUGAUGCAGCGACGCCGCGUGGGGGAUGACGGCCUUCGGGUUGUAAACUCCUUUCGCUAGGGACGAAGCUUUUUGUGACGGUACCUAGAUAAGAAGCACCGGCUAACUACGUG
rnacentral:rRNA from 1 species